GAAUACUUUCUGAAUGCGCUGUACAUGCAACAGCUGAUGUGGAUCAUCAUGGUGGUUACAUGGUUGACAUAUCAGGGACUUUCAUCAUGAACAUUGUCUCAUCGUACUGCUAUUUAGGACUCUCCACUGUCCCAGUAUCUAAAUAAAGCUGCAGCACAAGUGUAAUUGGCAUCCUAAUGAUGAUUAUUAUGGUGUGUGUGUGUGUGUGUGUGUGUCUGUGUCUGUGUCUGUGUCUGUGUCUGUGUCUGUGUCUGUGUCUGUGUGUGUGUGUGUGUGUGUGUGUGUGUGUAGGCUGGAGAGGCUGACGUCAGUGCUGAAACACAAGGAGGAGUUGAUCCGUAAGCUGAAGGAGGAUUUGAGGAUGAAGCAGCAGGUCGAUGAGCACUCAUUUGUGGAGGAUUAUACUUCCAAACAUCGCGGCCACCAGGAGGAGAUUCCGCAGCAGCAGCAGAAAAUUGCUCAGUUAGAGAGCCUUCUAUCCAGCCAACAGGAGGAAGCCGAACGAUGGAAACGGCGCGCUUACAGGCUUAAGGAGGGCCGGCGAGAGGGGGGUCUCCACACGCCCACCAAGCACACACGCCCACCCACACCUACUAAAAACGCGGCCUUGAAACACACACUCCCACUCACGCCCACCAAACCCACGCACGCACAGGCCAAGCCGUCGCCCAGCAAGCGUCCGGCGCUCGGCGAGGCCCCCCUGGUGAACUCCCCCCACUGCCCGCUGCUGGGUUCUCCCAAGAGCCUGUUCUUCGACAUGCCGCCAGGAACCAACGCCCCGCCCGCCUCGCGCACCAAGGGCUUCUUCGACCACCCCACCCUGGCGCCGUCAACAGGCACAGACAGUGAGGGAGACGAGGCUGACCCAAUGGCUUCUGAGGGGGGAGUCAGCGCGGCCAAGAAGUAUGACUGGAUGCCACGGUCCCCCAAACAGGGUCAACAGUGUGAAACUCAGUGAUCACCCUUGUCCUGUCCAUUUUUUUUUUCCUGUCUUGUUUUUUUUUUAUGUGUAGUAAUAAUUAAUUGUAUAUAAGUUCAAGAAUGGUUCAUUCUUUCUUUUACCAAUAAUUUUCAUACGGAUGGAUUGUCUUGUUAUUAAAGGAGAUUCCACAUUUCAUUAUCCUAUUGUGUUGCUAUGGCCAACAAGUGUCCAUUGUUCCUUGCCUUAUGACCACAACACGCAGCUUGUUCUCUGACACUCAAGCCAGAGACUCACCAAACAAACUAGCUUCGCCUGUGUCUGGGCCAACAAGGUACACUUCAACCACAAAGACUGCAGCCAACGGCCAACUAGCACAUAUGUUCUAAGAUAUGUGUUCACGGCUGUGUUUCAGUGCAAAGGCGAGUUACAACUCUCCUUGAGUACACGGGAGUGACCGAGCAUUUCCGUGAACGGACGUCUAAACUGACACAGUACCAGUACCUGUUUUUGAGAUGUUCUUUGUCGUGUCCUGUCAUGUUCUUAGCAUGUGUAGCCUACUUUUUAACAAGGACAUUACAUUGAAAAUCAGGAACAAACUGUUUACAAACAGCAUUUUUUUGUUUCGUUAAGAUGUUUCUACAAUAUUUCUUCAUCGUACUUGUUGAACUGCCA
rnacentral:lncRNA from 1 species